GGGUGCUGGGGGCGCGUCUUUGGCGAGAGAGCCGGGAUAGGGCCGGCCACUCCAAGGGGGAGGCGACGGCGGGCGGUGCUUUCCUAGCUCUGCGGCCUCAACAUGGAGCCGGGGCUGAGCGGGUCGUAAAGGGGCUUGUUCACGCUAGGCCCUGGUGGUGACUCCUCCUCUUGGAGGGAGAGGCUGGUCAAGAUGUCUGCUCCCGCUGUGGGGCAAAGCCUGGAACAGCAGCCGGUUCUGCUCCCGCAGCUUUCGAUGGAUUUGCUGCAAGCUCACAUUAAAGUUGAAAACAAAGAUGAUGUACACUUUGUGUCUUUUACCCGUAAAGUAAGUGAAGAUGAAUCCUUUGUGAAAGUUAGAAGAUCAAAGAAAGGCAGAAAGCCCCGUUAUGAUGGAUCUUUGGUUCAUUUGACCAAGAGGUUCAUGGAUCUUGUCAGAGCUUCACCAGAAGGUGUUCUUGAUUUAAAUGAGGUAUCUCGUACAUUGGGAGUGCAGAAACGAAGAGUGUAUGAUAUCACUCAUGUGUUGCAUGGAAUACAUCUUAUUCAGAAACGAUCCAAGAACCAUAUCCAGUGGGUUGGAUCGGACAUUAAGCAGAUUACUAAAAGGACACCAGAGCAUCAAAAGUUAAGAGAUGAACUUUAUGACUUAACUGCAAUGGAAGAAGCACUGGACGAAUUAAUUAAGGAUUGCGCUCAUCAGUUGUUUGACUUAACAGAUGACAAAGAAAAUGCACGGCUAGCUUAUGUGACCUACCAAGAUAUCUGCAGCAUUCAGACGUUUCAAGAACAGAUGGUUAUUGCAAUCAAGGCUCCAGAAGAAACCAAAAUGGAGGUACCGGCUCCGAAACAAGAUUCCAUAGAAGUACGCAUAAGGAGCACAAAGGGACCCAUUGAUGUUUAUAUAUGCGAGGUGCCAUUAGAUGAUCCAGAAUCUGAUGCUUUGAAGAAUGCUGAUAACGGUUCAUGUGAAAGUAAAUGGGCAACAGCUGAUGAUGAAGAGUGAACAGCAUCAGAAAUAUGAAGAGCUGCUAGAUUACUAAAGCUUUCGAUUUCUCAAUUUCCAUUGCAUGGACUUCCCAGGAUGUGCUUUACUAAGGGCCAGUGCAGGCUUGAUAAGUUUCUGUCUCAACUUUAUUUAAGAGAACAAGAGCAGACACUGAAUUUGAGGACUCUCUCUGUCUCUCACCAGAGCUAAUAUCCUGCCUCCAGUCUUUCCAUUGGCACAGACGUUAAGGGCUUAUGUCAGGAAAUUAAAAGAGAGGAGCUGGGGCAAAGAUGCAGAGCCUCAGGCUUUGGAGACCACCUAUGUCAAGAGGAUCCCAGCCAUCCAAGAGGAGGUAAUGAUCCUGUAGACCAAUUGCCCCAACAUCACCUCUUUAACAUACCCUAACAUUGACUCUGGCACAAAGUGUUGGUUUUGCACAAUGUACUUUAGCACAUGAUGCCCGGAGCCAUAUCUGGAAGAAUGGACAGGGGGAUGGCAUCCAAAAAUAAGCCUUGUGCCACCAGAUCAUAGCACUCCCUUUAGGAGAAGAUCCCCUGAUACGCCUUUAGCAUUUUGUCCAUUCCAGGACUUCAUUUUUGUAUAAAUUACUUUCAAAUAUGAUGCCUUCAAGCCAACCACUGCCAAAAUACCUAAGAAUACGGAUUUGGAAAUCUGCACCCCCAAAUAAGUUGACAUCCAGUAUAACACCAGUAUUGGGCACUGUUCCCUAGGAGAUGCUGUAAAACUAUACGUAGCCCAGUAAUCCAGUUUUGCACAGUUUGCUCUCAAGUAUGAUGCAACUCUUUAUCAAUGGUUUAUUGCCCUGCGGCUACUUUACUGCUAUUUUCUCCUACUGCUAUAUUGUUGCUAUUUUAUUGACUGUAGCUUGCAUCCUAGGAAAAUUUAACUUAAGCAAGUUCCUGGAAGGAAAUUUUCUCCUCUUUUCUCCUGCAGCUACCUGGACCCCAUAAAAAGUCUCCAUUGGGUAUGGGGCCACUCCUGAGAGUCCUGAACAAUAUGGGAUAGGGCACGGGUGGUAGCUAGGGAAAGGAAAAUAUGUCCCAACCCUCUGUCUGAUGUCCUCCCCCCAUCCCCCCAGCAGACAAGGGUGGUUCCUAGUUCCUUAUUUAUGUGAUAAUUUAGAGUAAAACCACUAUUACACUUAAAUAUGCUGUUGGCUGCGUGCAUGGAAAUCACAAGGAACAGGAAGUUAGUGGAUAAACUGUGUUGUUUUUUAAAUUGGCUUUCCAGAUAUCAGAAUAUUGCUUUAGUUGAGAAAUUGAAUUUCAAUAUAAUGCUCACUAAAGGGACUGUAGAUGCAUUAGACUAUUAUAUUAGGUGGAGUCCUCUUAUUGACUGUUUCAAUACUAAUAGGCAUAAGAUACAUUUGUCCAGUACAUUCUUACAGUUAUGGAUAAGUGGUAAAAAUAUUACUCUCUUUACAUAGGGCUAUAUAGAUGAGGUUAGUCAUAUUUUCUAAAAUGUAUUUCACAUGACUCUUUUUCUUUUUGUAUAAAAAGACUAAUGCAUGUGGGUGACCCAAGGGGAGGGAGGGAGAAUGAUUUGUUUGUUGUUUAUUGUUCUGUAUUUGAUGUCGUACA